rnacentral:rRNA from 1 species
UACGUAGGUGGCAAGCGUUGUCCGGAUUUACUGGGCGUAAAGGAUGUGUAGGCGGAUACUUAAGUGAGAUGUGAAAGCCCCGGGCUCAACCUGGGGACUGCAUUUCAAACUGGGUAUCUAGAGUGCAGGAGAGGAAAGCGGAAUUCCUAGUGUAGCGGUGAAAUGCGUAGAUAUUGGGAAGAACACCAGUGGCGAAGGCGGCUUUCUGGACUGAAACUGACGCUGAGGCACGAAAGCGUGGGGAGCGAACAGGAUUAGAUACCCUGGUAGUCCACGCCGUAAACGAUGUCAACUAGCCGUUGGAAUCCUUGAGAUUUUAGUGGCGCAGCUAACGCAUUAAGUUGACCGCCUGGGGAGUACGGCCGCAAGGUUAAA